UACGUAGGGGGCAAGCGUUGUCCGGAUUUAUUGGGCGUAAAGAGCGUGUAGGCGGCCAGACAGGUCCGUUGUGAAAACUCGAGGCUCAACCUCGAGAUGUCGAUGGAAACCGUCUGGCUAGAGUCCGGAAGAGGAGUGUGGAAUUCCUGGUGUAGCGGUGAAAUGCGCAGAUAUCAGGAAGAACACCUAUGGCGAAGGCGGCUCUCUGGGACGGUACUGACGCUGAGACGCGAAAGCGUGGGGAGCGAACAGG
rnacentral:rRNA from 1 species